rnacentral:rRNA from 1 species
UACGUAGGGACCGAGCGUUGUCCGGAAUCAUUGGGCGUAAAGAGCGUGUAGGCGGCCUUUUAAGUCCUGCGUGAAAUCCUGCGGCUCAACCGCAGACGGUCGUGGGAAACUGGAAGGCUAGAGUGCGGGAGAGGAGAGUGGAAUUCCCGGUGUAGCGGUGAAAUGCGCAGAUAUCGGGAAGAACACCCGUGGCGAAGGCGGCUUCCUGGCCCAUUACUGACGUUCAGGUACGAAAGCGUGGGUAGCAAACAGG